rnacentral:lncRNA from 1 species
GCCUAAUCCCUCUCAGUAGUAGAGGAGGCCCGUGCUCAGCAAGUGGGCAAGUAUAUAAUACAGGGCUGAUAUUAUUAUUAUUAUUACUGUUACAUAGUGAUGUAGUCUCAGCUUACUAAAGUGACAUCACUAUGUGGCGUCCUUCCGGCCACUGUCACUUCCGCACACUUUACGUCCCGAUAGCGUCGGCCUGGUCAUGUCUGAUUAUAUUUAUGUUUGUAGUCUUAAUUAAUAAAUAUAUUGUCAUAAACGACAGUGUCAUUAUUCAUCAAAUACAGAACCACAAUAUAUGGUGUCAGAAGUCAAUUCAAUCAAAAAAGAAAAAUGUCUAAAAGCGAUAAAGACACGGCAAGUGGCGAGCGGCAAGAAAUGACUUCCAAGUCGUCAAAGAAGCUCAACAUUAUGGGUAAUAUCAAGCCCAUGAGUCUAGAAGGAAAUCUGUCCACAAACUGGAAGAGACGGUAUCAAAGUUUUGUCAUUUUUAUGAAAGCGACCGCCAUUUUUGAUGAGCUGGAUGACCGCAAAGUGGCUGUCUUGUUGCAUUUCAUUGGCAACGAAUGUCUUAAUAUAUUCAUCACUUUCAACCUAAACACAGAAAAUGUAAAAUUUUCGCAACUGGUCGAAAAGUUUGAACAAUACUUUGUACCUAAAAGAAACAUUACAUAUGAGUGUUACAAAUAUUUCACUACAAAACAAAAAGUAGAUGAAAGUCUAGAAGAUUCCCUAACUCGUCUUAUAAAUAAGAGUAAGUCAUGUGAAUUUGGUAGUCUCCAAGAUAGAAUAAUAAAAGAUAUUUUCAUCACUAAUAUGCAUGAAACUUUUCAUCAUGUCAGAGAAAAGUUGUUACUUGAAGAUCUGUCAUUAGAAAAGGCGCGAAACCUUGCUAAAAGCAUUGUCAGCGAAAACACAUGCAGAAGAAUUUAAGGAGUCUUCUUCCAAUGUCUUUUAUCAAUGUCAGUCAUCAACCAAACCACAGUCACGAGCGAGCUCAAAGUCAAGAGCCAGGUCGCAGUCUCAAGAUAGAACAAAAUGUACUAAAUGUGGUCAAGUGCAUAAAUACAUGUGUCCUGCUAGAUAUGCAAAGUGUAGAAAGUGCAAAAUUAGAGGACAUUAUUAAGCGUGCUGUAAGUCUAAAUCUGUUAAACUCAUACAUGUAGCAAAAAGUGAAAAUGUCCAAAGUUAAUGUGUCAAAUAAUAUGCUAAUUGGAAAUUUAAAUUCAAGUCACUCUAAAAAAGCAGAAUGGAGUAUUGAUUUUACCUAUUAACAACAUCAAUAUAAAAUGCAUAUUGGACACUGGCAGUGAUGCCAAUGUAAUGUCAUAUAAUUUAUUUAAGUCACCAAAUGUUGUCAAAGAAUUUUCACCUUGUCAUGCUAUAGUAACUUCUUAUUGUGGAAAUACCAUACCAAUAUUAGGUCAACAAACAUUUAAUUGUGUUUUUAGUAUUGGUAGUCAGAAACGGAUAAAAAUAUUAAAUUUAUUAUUGCAAAAGUGUCGUCAACCACUGUACUUGGUAAAAAUACUUGUACAGAAUUGGGCCUAGUUAAAAGAGUGUUUAAUAUUGAAAAAUUAAACAACUGUCAAAGUCAAAAUAAUAUGGCUAGUCUAACUAAAUGUCAUAAAAUGUCAAAACUUACAAAUAGCAAUAUAAAUUGUCAAUUACAAGCACAUGAAAAUAAUUCUGAAUUUAAGUCAUGCUAUGUCAAAAAAGAUACUCAUAUAGAGAAUCUUUUGUCUAAAUUGAAGUCUGUAUUUGAUGGAUUGGGCUGGGUCUACCAGGUGAAUGUCAUAUCACAAUUAAUAAUGAUAUCUGUCCUAAAAUAGAUUCACCUCGGAAAAUUCCAUUCUCACUUCAUGAUAGACUGAAGAAGGAACUAGACAACAUGGAAAGUAUGGAUGUCAUCUGUAAGGUCACUGAGCCAACAUCAUGGCAGAACGUCUCCAGUGGCUCACCAAGGCUACGGAACAAGAUGAAAGUCUGCAACUACUGAAGAAUUACUAUCAAAAUGGAUGGCCUGAUAGAAAAUCUGAAGUCAAUAAAUUAGUCUUACCUUAUUGGAACUGUCGUCAUGAAAUACAUGCUGUUAAAGUCAAACUCUAAAGAGUUGAGACCAGAAAUUCUGAAAAUGAUACAUAGUGGUCAUCAAGGUAUAGAAAA